AGCUUCGAGUUUUUCCAAGCAGUCUGGGGUAGAGCUAAGAGCAUGCACUCCGGAGUCGUUCAGAAUUUCAAACCUCAUUGCUGCCAAGUCUUCACCAAGUGAUCCUGGACAAGUCACCAACCUAGUGCAGACUCAGUUUCCUUCUCUAAGGUGGAGAUAACACCACUCAUCUUGUCUUGUUGAGAGCAUUAGUGAUAUUACCACCUAAGUAUCAACACUUAAAAAUUUGUUAAUCUGAUCGGGAAUCUUUUAAAAACAUGUUAAACACUUCCUUCUUGCCUUCCUAAACAGUCAAGGGAAUAUAACCUUUUCUUGAUGACUCAGGGUCACAAUUACCAGCAAAGCAUCAAUUAUCAAAAUGAUGAUCUCCACAUGGGCCAAGGUGUGUCAGGCCAUCCCCCGAAAUAAAUGACAGCCAGCUCUUACACCAAUACCAGCUUUACACGAUGUUUAGAUCUCCACCCAUCUGUCAACUCUCAGUGCACUGUGGUCAUUUCUCCUCUCCAUGCCAGUCUCUUUACACUCUUCCCUUUGCUGCUUCCUUUCGGUUGGGGGCUUGGAAAUGGGAUGACAAAGCUUAUAUAUAAAAGCUAAACAGGGCCUGAGGAGGCUAGUGUGAAAAAAAUGUAGGAACUUGAGUCCUGGCUAAUGUGAGGCCUUCUUUGCUCCAUAGAGAGAAGCAAGGCUGCGGGUGACCAAGUCCUGAAUAGGGCAGGAGAGGUGUUAUGGAAUAUUAUGUGGGACACAUUAUGGGACGAACUAUAUUUGAGACUAUAAGCACACCCUACUGUCCACUUUGGGCCCAACUUGCAUGGUGGCAAACUCUGCAGUAGGCCUGGGAGCACUGGUCCCAAAGACCCCAGGCAUCCUUUUGCUUUUCCAGGCUGCAGGAAGACAGGGCUGCCUAGCCCUCUGCCAGUGCAGCUGACCACAGGUUAACUUCUCAGUAUCUUAUAACCUAGACACUUUCAGGCAGGAAGAGAACAUUUGUGAAGAGGGUGAAAAUUUCUUUAAUUCCUAAGGUUUCAUCACACAAUAGGGCUUUACUCAUGCAACAAACAUUUUUUCGCAUGCAGCAAGCACUGGAGAUGUAGAAAUGCAGAGGGCAGAUAGAGGCUGCAAGAACACUGGUUCCCUUCUCCUUUCAAUAAACAUUUGCCACCUAUUGCUCAAGAACCUCUGAGAGUGACACAUACACACAGAGUCUUGCAGCCUGGGGAGUAAAGGAUAUGAGUUUUUAAGAGCUUCCAGUAUGUAUAGAACCCAUCUCUCCUCUCAGGAUCCUGUUGCCACAGUAAAACAGACUUCACUCCUCACUGCUCUUGCCUCCCUCCCUGCCUUCUCAACCAGACUCCCGCAGCAAUCAAAGUGACUUCAAGGACCCUCAAACUGCGCUUCCCAAAGGCUGCACGGACAGCCACCACUGUACCCAUUGGAACCUUGUUCUGGUCCUGUGUUCAGCCCUAGAGUCUGCUCACCAUGAAACAGUUUGAAUGCUUAACAAUCUAUUCUCUGAGCUUAAACAAGGCUGCCUCCCCAAAAGCCAGCCAAGAGAACUGUAAAUAGCCCCACUCUCCCUUUGCUUGCAUUGCCAGAGGGCAACAGCCCACCAGGGCUGGGCUUGCCCCCACCCCAUGGCCUUCUUCCCCCUAACUCCAUGGGACAAAAGCUGGAGCAGAUGAGAUCACCAGGCCCCAGUUAUUCUCAGGAUGGGACCCCAGUGCAAGCCCAUCACGCCCAGUUGGUGACACUCUCUACUGUUCUGGAUGCUAUGUGGGAACAACGAUGAGUCAAGCAGAGAUCCUGCCUUCAGAGAGCUUCUGAUCAAAAUAAGAAGAGAGACCCAGUUAAUAAGGCCAGCCUUUACCCCAGACAGCUAACACCAGAGGGGCUGCCAGUGUCUCUAAAUGCACCUGCCUAGGAUCACAGGUUAGUUGACCUGCCCAGUUUCUUUCUCCUCUGACUUGAGGUCGCCCCACAUCACAAACAUGCCCCAGCUCUUCAGAGCCCUAUUUGCCACUUCCUCUGAGGCCAGAUUAUAUCUAGCUUUACUGGGUCUCCAGGCACCAACAGGCAGGCCUGGAAAGUGCCUUCACCACAGGGCCUGCCUGGCUGUCCUGCAUGUGCAGCGGGGCCCUCAGGGGGAGUGGUCUGGCUGAUGACCACUUCCCUGGGCCUCACCCUCCACUGCCCAUCCCUGCUUCCUGAGCCAGGGCAGGGUCCCCAGGAAACCACUCACCACAGCUUUUGACAGCAGUCUUUCAGAUCAGGCCCCUCCCUUUGAGGUCUGUGGUUCCAGCUGAGAGGGGAAGAGACUCCUAGAUUGGCUGGUGGAAGCAGCGCAGAGCUGAGCAGUCCAAGUCCAGCCAGACCCGGAGAUCUCUUAGUGUCUGUGCAUUCUACUACUCUAAAUUCUGGUCCACUGCAGCUUCUUCCAGGGCUGCCUCUGAGCCUCCAUCAGAAUCCUCUCACCACCUCUGCAGGCCUCCUAGAACACCUCCACUCACCAUCUGCCCAGCUCUCUCGAGCCCCUCCCUCAUUUUCCCCACCUCUUCAUCCCCCUUGGGAGCAUAACUUCUCUACAGGACACUGGGGGAGGGGCGGAGAGCCUUCCAGCUGUGAGGCAGAGUGGAGAGGCCAGGGAUGAAGGUGUGAUUCAUCAGGGCUGGUUAAGAAGCAGGGGGAAUUCCAGAGCAAGGGAGGGUCAAGGCUGCCCCCAGCUCACCCUGUCCCCCCCAGGGGAAGCAGCACACACCUGGGCGCCCUGCAUCCUCAACCAUCAGAAAUCUGGGGUAGGAGAGAAAGUCUUACUAACUAGAAAGUCUGCAUGAACCAGAGUUUCUAUUUUCAUCUCCCUCUAAUUCUCCACUCCUGCCUAAUGAAAUGAAAAGCUUUCAUCUAGAGUCCUUAGCAAAGCCAUUAAAUAUCUUGAGGCACCCCUGCAGAACUUGGUUAGAGAAACAAUAAAAGAGGAUCAUUUAUUGAACAUCUCUGUGGGCUUUGCUAAGCACUUAAUAUAUGUUAUCUCAUUGUUCAUUCUCACAAUACCAUAUGUGGUAGGUAUGAUGACUAACUCCAUUUUACAGGUGAGAAACACAGGCUCAAAGGAGUUGAGCACCACAGGGUUAGCAAGCUGUCAGGCUGGGAUCUGAACCCAGGUGCGUCCAACUGCAAACCCAGCUCCUCAAGGCCACAGUGUGUUGCUUGAACUGUGUUUCAAGAAAGGGAUAUCAGAGAUGAAGGGAAAUACCUCCUCCAGGCAUGACCUCAAUGGUCCUUUCCUGGAGACACUUCCCAGGCCACCCCAUCUAAACGCCAUCUCACCCCUUCUAAGACAAUUCACAUCCACCUUCCCCAUCAUAUUUUUCUGCUUAUGACUAACAUGUUUUCUAUUCCAAUUAUCCGUCUUGCUUAUUGUCCACUUCCCCACUAGAAGUCAGCUCCAUGAGGUCCAUGAUGGCUAUAUAUUUUGCAUAUGCUGUGCCCCUGCAUCUGGCCAGCUCUAUUCAUAUACAGUAAGUGCCAAAUAAAUAACUGUUGAAUGAAUGAAUGAAUACUUUAAAAUAGAACUAAGAGGCAAGUGUGUAGGAAGAAAACAAAGAUGAUCCAUCCAUUCAGGGGAAGCAAGAAGAGAUAAGAAAAGUCAGUGAGAGAAUCUGGCCGGGGCAAGUCGGGGGCCUCUGGAAAUGAGGAUCCUUCCUGCUGGCAGUAGUGAUUUCCAGCUUCCAGGUCCCAGCUUGAGGGCUCCUGCCAGGGAAGCAGGGCGGGCUUACAGCCCUGGGACAAAGGCCUUUGGACACGCAGCUGGCCAGAGAGGCGGGACAGAGCCGGAGCAGCGGCCUGGGAUGGGGGAGGGAGACAAAUGAGGAGCUGAAGACAGUCCUCAGUGCAGCUGCAAAAGCAACACCCUCCCAACACCAGAGUGCCCUCAAUCUCCAACACAACAGAGAAUGGCUCUCGAUAGCUUCACAAUCAACUCUCCAAGGUCAGCGCCAGAGCUUUCACAAGGGUCUGAGAGGGCAGGUGGAGGUGAAGGGGCAAGCCACACAUCUGGAACACAGUCCCUUCUCCCCUCAGCCCUGGUCAUCCCUCACACCACGGCCUUUGGCCUCCCCCAGUGUAAACACAGUGACCCUGGGAUAGCUGGGGAUUUGGUAAGGCAAAUGUUUACUCAGGAGCUGAGAUAUUACAGGCCAGGGGUGUAGACUUCCACCAUUGGCUCCUGGUAUCUAUUAUGUCCUUAUGGCACACGUGGGACAUAUCCAGUAAAUCGUAAAGCUCUUGAGAGCCACUCUCAGCCACAGUGAGCCCUUUAUUUUGUCUAAGAGUUUAUGGAGCACUUUCCCCACAGUCCUUAACCACAGCCUCUAUGAGAAAGGGCAGGCAAGUACUCCACUUUACUUCGAGAGGAAACUGAAUCAGAAAAGAUCCGUGACUUGCCCAGGUGAUUAGGGGAAAAGCAUGGAUUAGACAGAGCCAGGAAGUCUGAGUUCUGGUCCCUAUUUGGCCUACGGGGACCAAGCUCAAUCCCCUCACAUCUCGGGCUCUGCUGCCUUCAUGUGUAAAAGGAGUAGGCUAAUCUCAGGUGCCUUCCAGCCCAGCGACUCUAUCAACCUUUGAGGCCAUGCAGCAGAGCCAGGACUAAAACCCAGGCAAAAAUGCUGUGCUGGACUCCCAGACCAGUGCUCUUCCCACUCUCCCUGAUGCCACUUCUAAUAAAAGGCAGUAGAAAAGCCCCCCAAAACAGCUCUUAAACAAUCCACUCUCUCUGCUUCUAGGACUUGGUUUACGCCAUGCCAACUCCCUGCCCCUUCCCAGAGCAAGAUGCCCAGGGAGCCGAGGAGUUGGAAGGGAGUGGGGGCAGCACGAGUGUGAACAGCAGGCACAGAAGGAGGAGUUGAGGCGUCCCCGGAGCCCAGGGAAGGGGCGAGUAACAAACAGAAGGGGUACACCUUUUUAUUCUCACUCCCGAGGUUUUCUGCAGGGAAUAGCUGGGGUGAAGUCAUUCCCACCUAAAUCACUCAGGAUUCCACUCCCAGGCCAGGCAGGGGGGGCUGGAAAGGCAUUUUCCUGAAGCGAGGCAGGUGACGUUCUCAGUGGGAGCCCGCUCCGGGCUGUCAUUACUCUCCCAGCUUAUUAUUUCUCGAGCAAGGUGGGUGUGACUGGGCUGCAUGCAGAGACAGGACAGGAGAGACUCUGACAAGCCCCAGUCCAGGGUUCCCUGUAGGGUGAUGCAGUCUGGGUCCCUCCUGGGGGCCCCAGACCAGAGGACAGGUCCCUUCACCUGACAACAGCUUAGCGAGUGACCUCAAGGAUGAAACUCUUCAGGCGGCCACUAACACCGCCCUCCGCCAGGCCACACCUCUCCAGCCUCCCACCAUUACAUUUCCCACUCCGUUCUUUCUUUUGUUUCCAAAAGCAGCUCCAAAGAAUAAAAGUUGCUACCUAAAAACGUCUUGAAAAUUUCAAGUUUACAUGCCUUAUCCUGGCUUUCCAAACCAAAGGGCUGAAGAUGGGGAGCAAAUUAACCAAACCGAUUUCAGGAGUGGGCGAGGUCGAGGUGCACUGUGGCAGCCAGUGAUCUCUGCGCUUUCGGCUCCCCGACACCCCAUUUCCGGCACCCACUCUACUCCCUCCAGCACAGGAGCUGAGAUUCCCAAGACCGAGCGCCGUGUGGCACCAACCCGGAACAGGCUGCGGGCUCCUCUUGGGCUCCCGGGACCAGAGGCUCGGGUCCUUCCCCAGAAGAGUCCACCCUGCCCAGGCCCACAGUCCGAGGCUGCGACCAGCCCGCGGGCAACCGAGCGCGCAGCGGGAGCGGGUGGGCGCACCUCGCGGCCUUCCCGGUUUCAAAAAAGAAUAACUGAGGAUGGCACCGGCACCGAUCUAGCAACUUAGCCAAGAUUACAUAACCAGCAAAAGCAGAGCCUGACAAGAUCCCAGAUCCAGCCAACUGCUGAGUGCUUACUAUGUGCCAGCCAUUAUUCUAAGCCCUUUAUAGGAACGAUUGCAGUCACAGAAGAAAGAAACUGAGGCACAGCUAGUGUGUGGUAGACCUGGGAUUUGUAACGGGAACGCUGCUCUUCACCACCUAUUCUGUUUUCUUUUUGACACUUGUUAUAUUUAGUUCAACACUUGAUUAUAAUGUCUGGCGUUGUUUCUAAUUGUUUUAAUCUAUAUAGCUUAUUUCCAAUAAAGAUCGCCAUCUUUCCUUAGGGCAGAAGUCACAGGAUGCACUCAGUAAAGCCAUGGCGAAUUCAGGUGAGAUAACCCAAACAGUUUGUGAGAAAUCACACCCUCUCACGUCUAAGACUCCACACCUCUGUCUGGGCCCAGGCGCUCUAGGACCCACAGCCUCUUCACAGCUCAGAGCCUCUUUUCUUCCUGCCCCUGUGGAUUCUUGCUUUAGUGGCCUCACCUUCCCUGCUCUUAAAUCAUUUAUUGUUAUAAUAAUACCCUGUGCCCCGGUAAUGCCUUUAAUCCAAGAUCUCAAAGUGUUCUAACCAAUACAGAUGAAUUCAUCCUCACAGUACCCGCACUGAGCUGGGGAGAUGGAGGUAUUCUCCCCCAUUUUAUGGGUGAGAAAACCGAGACAACACAGAGUCGGAAUGACUCACCAUGGAAAUCAAUGGCAGGGUUUCUUCUCCCAGUCCUUCCCCUCCUCCUUCCUAACUCUUCGCUGCCAACAUUUGCAUCAAAAUUUCAAAUCCCAGAGACAAAGGCCAUUGAGUUUUCACAAUAAAGGACAUUUCCAAACUGUCA